UAAAGAAAGCGUAAUAGCUCACUGGUCGAGUCGGCCUGCGCGGAAGAUGUAACGGGGAAAAACCAUGCACCGAAGCUGCGGCAGCGACACUAUGUGUUGUUGGGUAGGGGAGCGUUCUGUAAGCCUGCGAAGGUGUACUGUGAGGUAUGCUGGAGGUAUCAGAAGUGCGAAUGCUGACAUAAGUAACGAUAAAGCGGGUGAAAAGCCCGCUCGCCGGAAGAC
rnacentral:rRNA from 1 species